rnacentral:tRNA from 1 species
GGACGGUUAGCUCAGUUGGUAGAGCACUGCUUUCACACGGCAGGGGUCGUUGGUUCGAGUCCAAUACCGUCCACCA